ensembl:misc_RNA Metazoa_SRP Metazoan signal recognition particle RNA
GCCAGGCGCGGUGGCUCACGCCUGUAAUCCCAGCACUUUGGGAGGCCGAGGCAGGAGGAUUGCUUGAGCUCAGGAGUUCAAGACCAGCCUGGGCAACAAAGCGAGUCCCUGUCUCUA